CUAGGCGUCGAGCGGCGGACGGGUGAGUAACGCGUAGGAACCUACCCGAUAGUUGGGGAUAGCCCGGAGAAAUCCGGAUUAAUACCGAAUAAUCUCUACGGAGGAAAGGGGGCUUCGGCUCUCGCUAUUGGAUGGGCCUGCGUCGGAUUAGCUAGUUGGUGAGGUAACUGCUCACCAAGGCGACGAUCCGUAGCUGUUCUGAGAGGAUGAUCAGCCACACUGGGACUGAGACACGGCCCAGACUCC
rnacentral:rRNA from 1 species